rnacentral:rRNA from 1 species
UACGUAGGGUGCAAGCGUUGUCCGGAAUUAUUGGGCGUAAAGAGCUCGUAGGCGGUUUGUUGCGUCGGCUGUGAAAUCCCGAGGCUCAACCUCGGGUCUGCAGUCGAUACGAGCAAACUAGAGUGUUGCAGGGGAGACUGGAAUUCCUGGUGUAGCGGUGAAAUGCGCAGAUAUCAGGAGGAACACCGGUGGCGAAGACGGGUCUCUGGGCAACAACUGACGCUGGAGGAAGCGAAAAGCGUGGGGAGCGAACAGG